UACGUAGGGGGGCUAGCGUUGUCCGGAAUCAUUGGGCGUAAAGAGCGUGUAGGCGGUCCGGUAAGUCCGCUGUGAAAGUCGGGGGGCUCAACCCUCGAAUGCCGGUGGAUACUGUCGGGCUAGAGUUCGGCAGGGGGAGACUGGAAUUCCUGGUGUAGCGGUGAAAUGCGCAGAUAAUCAGGAGGAACACCGGUGGCGAAGGCGGGGUCUCUGGGCAGUAACUGACGCUGGAGGAGCGAAAAGCGUGGGGAGCGAACAGG
rnacentral:rRNA from 1 species